GUCGGUCCAGUUAAUAAUUGUAUCGGUUGCAGUGGUUGUAAGUAAGUAACAACUACGGAUGCGACAAUAGUCGAGGUAAUCGUCCGUGUGGUUAGUAGUAAAAAUCUUAACGGUAAUGGCCCUACAGUGUCGCCCGGAUUUCGACCCGCAUCCCCUUUCAAAUUGCCAUUCAAAUGCAGUUAUCCGCAUUUAUUUAUUUAUUUACAAGAUAAACGAAACGAAAAGGGUUUCGUUUAAUAAAAAGCUAAACUAACAAUAGAACUAAAGAUGCCACUUUCCCGAAGGAUCCUAAGGUUCCCAUGGUAAGAAAUAAAAGAAAAAAAUUACAGAAAUCCGACUAGAAAGAUUAAGAUUGGUAUUAAUAAGAUUAAAAAAAAAUAACUAAGAACAGAGAGAAAGUAAGAAUGUAUUUUGGAGAGAUGCUAAGAGAAUUACAUAUAUUAAAAUGUAAUCAAUAAUUUUACCGGAUAUCUAAAAGCUAUAAAAGUGUAUACGGUUUGCCAACUGUAUAAGAGAAUAAGUAAGUUAAAGGAAUACAUUAAAAGUCAGAAUAUAAACGGAUAAAACGAAUCUUUAUUAGAUUUUAUGUCGACGACGAAGAUUUUUACGAGCGGAUUUUUACGUGGAACCUAAGAAGUUAUUGGAGUGGAGUCGCAAUUACCGUAUUCUGUGUCUUUAAAUAAUAUCCGCACCACAGAAUUUUCCAAUUCUGUCUUCCGCGGCUAUAAAAUUGCUGCUAAGAACAGAGUCGGUGCCAUCGAGGCAAUCGACUAGAAACGCAGCUUCAAUCCCAAGACGAAGAUUGUAGAGAUUCCUCUCGUUAGGAUCAGUUUCUCGAAUCGCCAGAAACUCUCGCAGGAAUAUCGCUUCUUCCUACGAAGUUUACCGAUCUUUCCUUCUUUUUUUUUUUUUUUUAUAGUUUUAUGCGUUGGAAAUCAAGGAGAGAGAGAAGGAAGAAGAUCGACAGAAAAAAGAUCAAUUCCCAAACGAUGGUCCGCACUAACAACCCCACUUUGUUUGUUCAAAAUUCCAAUUUCGGUUUGUAAAUAAUCUUAUAAAUACUUCGUUUCUUCUCGAAAUAAACCAUUCCGGCCAACAAUUUUUCGAGAUGGCAAAGUCUUACGCUAGACAAAACUGAUCUUGCUUACGAAAACCAAAAUUUAUUGCCUUUUAUCCUCUGUUAAAAAUUUAAAUCGCAUGAAAAAUUAUAUUAAAAUAUCGAAAUUCCUAGAUUUGAAAUAUAUUUAAAUAUAUAAUUUAAUACGACCGAUGCGAGAGAGAUAAAAAAUUUAAGAUGGUUUCAUUUGGUAAAGUGGAGGAAAUGCCAUAAGAUAAAAAUCUCUCCUCGGCCGUAGACAAACGACCAGAGUCUCGACACCAUCUUUGCCACUGCAGAUUUCUUCGAGGACGAAAAGAAAAAAGAAAAAUAAAAAGAAAAAUAAAGACUUUUCUCGGUUUACUCUACAACAAAGUUCAUCUCGGUUUCUUUUUUUCUUAUUGAUGAGAUUGCUUCAAGUAUUAAUGCGAGUGGUUUGCCGACUAUUUAUUAAAUAAAGUGACAAAAAAAAAUAAAAGAUAUUGCGGAUUACUGUCAUUCUAUCCUCAAAAAACUAAAGAAUGUCUACAAAAAUUAUAUAAGUAAAGAAGAAACUGAAGAUAUUGCCGAAAAUUUCGGUACGAAUUUCAAAUUUAAGAAGCAGUCGACGAGACGAGAA
rnacentral:lncRNA from 1 species